rnacentral:tRNA from 1 species
GAGUGUAUAGCUCAAGUGGUAGAGUGCAUGCUUAGCAUGCAUGAGGUCCUGGGUUCAAUCCCCAGGACCUCCU